UUUUUUUUUUUUUUUUUUUUUUUUUUUUUGUCAUGCAAGCUCUGGAAGCAGAGAACUUAGGGCCAGAGUACCAGACUAUCUGCUGCCACAGGCAUCUUCUCAGUUCAGUAGAAUGGAAGAGAAAAGAAGUGUCUCCUUGCCACCUUUUCCUGAUUUAUUUCUAUACCGCUCUUUUUAAGUCAUGCUUAUGGAUUUAAAAAUCAGUCCUUGCAGUUUGGAUUAUUACAGGGCUUGUUUUCACGUGAUACCUUGCUGAAAUACAGAUUGCUGGCCUGUCUGUCUGUCUGUCCUUUCUUUCUUGUUUGUUGAAAGAUUUUCUUUUUUAUUUAGUGUAUUGUCUAGAAGGAUCUGGGGAAAGCAAAAGAAUAUGAUCAAAAGGUAUUGUUCUGUAUGAUUAAAAUUAAAGAUAAUAAUAAAAUUAGUGUGUAUUAAGUCCCUCCAACUCAAGAUGUAACCUCAGAGACAGAGAAACUUGGCACAUAUGUGGC
rnacentral:lncRNA from 1 species